rnacentral:rRNA from 1 species
CGUCUAUAUACGUAUAGCAUAUCAAUAAGCGGAGGAAAAGAAACUAACAAGGAUUCCCUUAGUAACGGCGAGUGAAGCGGGAAGAGCUCAAAUUUGAAAUCUUCAAGGUUUUACCUUGACGAAUUGUAGUUUAAAGAAGUGUUUUCUGUUGGAGUUUUGGUAAAAGUUCUUUGGAAUAGGACAUCAUAGAGGGUGAGAAUCCCGUAUUUGACCAUUAUUUCCAACUUUGUGAUACACUUUCAAAGAGUCGGAUUGUUUGGGAAUGCAGUCCAAAAUGGGUGGUAAAUUUCAUCUAAAGCUAAAUAUUGGCGAGAGACCGAUAGCGAACAAGUACCGUGAGGGAAAGAUGAAAAGAACUUUGAAAAGAGAGUUAAACAGUACGUGAAAUUGUCAAAAGGGAAGCGUUUGACACCAGUGUUGUUUUUCCGAAAAUCAAUUAAGAAUGGCUGGAUUUUAAGUUUCAUGACCUUAAAAGCUUGUUUCUUAUUUUUCUUGUCUUUCUUAAUGCACUUUUCGGUUAACAAGUCAACAUCAAUUUCUUUUGUUGCUAAAAGGUUAAGAGGAAGGUGGCUUUACUUUCGGGUAAAGUGUUUAUAGCCUUUUAACUCUGCAAUCGGAGAGAUUGAGGUCUGCAGCGUAGAUCCUUCGGGGCUAGAUACAUUUGUGCUAAGUUAUAGCUUUUCAUAGACAACUUGUUGACUAUGUUUAGUCUUGUAGCUUACUCGCUACUGCCUAUUUUACCUACGCUUAGGAUGUUGACACACGCGCGUGCUCG